AUCAUCUUUCUCAGGAAUUCCAGCUACAGUUAGAGAACUUUGCUCAGUCAUCUGAACAAGAGAAAGAGGAGUCAGGAUUUUCCUCUUCUAGACCAACAGGCCUCCAUCUUCACUAACUUAAGAGAGAAGUAAGGCAGCCACCGACUUGAAUGAUGAGGAGCGGAGUGGUGCUGUUUGUUCUGGGUCUGCUGUGCUUCUGCAGCUCCGUUUUUGGGCAGGAUGCUGAGGGGACUGAGCAGGGUGUUCAGGUCUUCUGUGAUGACAUGCACGUGCAAAAGGCUGCCCACAGCGCCUUGCACAAGUUCAACGACAAGUUGACCACUGGAUACAAGCUGGCUCUCUUUCAGAUCACAUCCGCCAGAAAG